rnacentral:rRNA from 1 species
GACGAACGCUGGCGGCGUGCCUAAUACAUGCAAGUUGAGCGCUGAAGGUUGGUCCUUGUACCAACUGGAUGAGCAGCGAACGGGUGAGUAACGCGUGGGGAAUCUGCCUUUGAGCGGGGGACAACAUUUGGAAACGAAUGCUAAUACCGCAUAAAAACUUUAAACACAAGUUUUAAGUUUGAAAGAUGCAAUUGCAUCACUCAAAGAUGAUCCCGCGUUGUAUUAGCUAGUUGGUGAGGUAAAGGCUCACCAAGGCGAUGAUACAUAGCCGACCUGAGAGGGUGAUCGGCCACAUUGGGACUGAGACACGGCCCAAACUCCUACGGGAGGCAGCAGUAGGGAAUCUUCGGCAAUGGACGAAAGUCUGACCGAGCAACGCCGCGGGAGUGAAGAAGGUUUUCGGAUCGGAAAACUCUGUUGGUAGAGAAGAACGUUGGUGAGAGUGGAAAGCUCAUCAAGUGACGGUAACUACCCAGAAAGGGACGGCUAACUACGUG